UCAGAGCUGGUUAAUGGCAUAGGAAGCAGUGAGCCCAGUCCUCCCUCAGAGUCAUAUAGCACCUCAGCAGCCAUACCUGACAUUAAUCCAGAGAAUGUGACGACGGUGUCUACUGAUCCAAACAGUAUGGUCAUUACAUGGAAGGAACUGGAGCAACGCCAGUUUAAUGGACCAGGAUUUAAGUACAAGAUCUACUGGCGUCAAGCUUCGACAGAGGUCCACACGGGAAGGAAGGCAGCGUCUCGCAUCCUCCGUUCAUCGUGAACAACACGGGGACCCUUCA